AUUGAACGCUGGCGGCAGGCCUAACACAUGCAAGUCGAGCGGAUGAAGGGAGCUUGCUCCUGGAUUCAGCGGCGGACGGGUGAGUAAUGCCUAGGAAUCUGCCUGGUAGUGGGGGAUAACGUCCGGAAACGGGCGCUAAUACCGCAUACGUCCUGAGGGCGAACGUGGGGGAUCUUCGGACCUCACGCUAUCAGAUGAGCCUAGGUCGGAUUAGCUAGUUGGUGGGGUAAAGGCCUACCAAGGCAACGAUCCGUAACUGGUCUGAGAGGAUGAUCAGUCACACUGGAACUGAGACACGGUCCAGACUCCUACGGGAGGCAGCAGUGGGGAAUAUUGGACAAUGGGCGAAAGCCUGAUCCAGCCAUGCCGCGUGUGUGAAGAAGGUCUUCGGAUUGUAAAGCACUUUUAGUUGGGAGGAAGGGCAGUAAGUUAAUACCUUGCUGUUUUGACGUUACCAACAGAAUAAGCACCGGCUAACUUCGUG
rnacentral:rRNA from 1 species